rnacentral:tRNA from 1 species
GCCUGUGUGGCUCAGUUGGCUGAGCAUCUGAGUUCAGCUCAGGUCGUGCUCUCGCAGUUUGUGAGUUCAAGUCUCAUGUCGGGCU